rnacentral:rRNA from 1 species
UGCAGUCGAGCGAACAGACAAGGAGCUUGCUCCUUUGACGUUAGCGGCGGACGGGUGAGUAACACGUGGGUAACCUACCUAUAAGACUGGGAUAACUUCGGGAAACCGGAGCUAAUACCGGAUAAUAUUUCGAACCGCAUGGUUCGAUAGUGAAAGAUGGUUUUGCUAUCACUUAUAGAUGGACCCGCGCCGUAUUAGCUAGUUGGUAAGGUAACGGCUUACCAAGGCGACGAUACGUAGCCGACCUGAGAGGGUGAUCGGCCACACUGGAACUGAGACACGGUCCAGACUCCUACGGGAGGCAGCAGUAGGGAAUCUUCCGCAAUGGGCGAAAGCCUGACGGAGCAACGCCGCGUGAGUGAUGAAGGUCUUCGGAUCGUAAAACUCUGUUAUUAGGGAAGAACAUACGUGUAAGUAACUAUGCACGUCUUGACGGUACCUAAUCAGAAAGCCACGGCUAACUACGUGCCAGCAGCCGCGGUAAUACGUAGGUGGCAAGCGUUAUCCGGAAUUAUUGGGCGUAAAGCGCGCGUAGGCGGUUUUUUAAGUCUGAUGUGAAAGCCCACGGCUCAACCGUGGAGGGUCAUUGGAAACUGGAAAACUUGAGUGCAGAAGAGGAAAGUGGAAUUCCAUGUGUAGCGGUGAAAUGCGCAGAGAUAUGGAGGAACACCAGUGGCGAAGGCGACUUUCUGGUCUGUAACUGACGCUGAUGUGCGAAAGCGUGGGGAUCAAACAGGAUUAGAUACCCUGGUAGUCCACGCCGUAAACGAUGAGUGCUAAGUGUUUAGGGGGUUUCCGCCCCUUAGUGCUGCAGCUAACGCAUUAAGCAC